rnacentral:misc_RNA from 1 species
CUCUGUAGGAGGGCUUGCAGCAACAACCAACUGAUUCCCUCUUCUGAUUCUUAGACAUUCUCUUGGAACCCCAGGUGUCUUGAUAGAGUUACACAACAAUGAAGAGAAUCUAAAACAUUUUUCCUUCUGUUUAGAUGCCUCUAUUCUAUUAGUCACACCAAAAACCACAUUUUGACUUGUUUUACUUAUCUCAGUUGGAACACAAUAUGAUGGAUGCGCCUGGGAAACAAGCUUCAUACCUAAGUGAAGAAAAAAAGGGUGAAUUAGGGGUUAGGAUGUGAAGAAGGCGAUGAGAUUAGGGCUAGAGAGUUGGAAUCUCUGAGGUUUUAGGCUUCGGGCUGAUGCUCAGAGCCAGAGGCUCCUGCCAGUAGAAAGUUGUACAAAGGAAAAGGAAAAGGUUUUCUUUGGAGUGGAAGGAGAC